UACGGAGGGUGCAAGCGUUGUCCGGAUUUAUUGGGUUUCAAGGGUGCGUAGGCGGCUCUUUAAGUCAGUGGUGAAAUACUGCAGCUCAACUGUAGCAUUGCCAUUGAUACUGAAGAGCUUGAGUACAGAUGAGGUAGGCGGAAUUUAUGGUGUAGCGGUGAAAUGCAUAGAUACCAUAAAGAACACCGAUUGCGAAGGCAGCUUACUAAGCUGUAACUGACGCUGAGGCACGAAAGCGUGGGGAGCGAACAGG
rnacentral:rRNA from 1 species